rnacentral:tRNA from 1 species
GCCGGUGUAGCUCAGUGGCAGAGCUCCUGAUUUGUAAUCAGGGGGUCGUCGGUUCGAAUCCGACCGCCGGCU